rnacentral:rRNA from 1 species
AUUGAACGCUGGCGGAAUGCUUUACACAUGCAAGUCGAACGGUAGAGGGGGCAACCCCUCGAGAGUGGCGAACGGGUGAGUAAUAUAUCGGAACGUGCCCAGUCGUGGGGGAUAACGUAGCGAAAGUUACGCUAAUACCGCAUACGAUCUAAGGAUGAAAGCGGGGGAUCGCAAGACCUCGCGCGAUUGGAGCGGCCGAUAUCAGAUUAGGUAGUUGGUGGGGUAAAGGCUCACCAAGCCAACGAUCUGUAGCUGGUCUGAUAGGACGACCAGCCACACGGGAACUGAGGCACGGUCCAGACUCCUACGGGAGGCAGCAGUGGGGAAUUUUGGACAAUGGACGCAAGUCUGAUCCAGCCAUUCCGCGUGCAGGAUGAAGGCCCUCGGGUUGUAAACUGCUUUUGUACGGAACGAAAAGGUCUCUCUUAAUACGGGGGGCUCAUGACGGUACCGUAAGAAUAAGCACCGGCUAACUACGUGCCAGCCGCCGCAGUAA